rnacentral:rRNA from 1 species
CACUCCUACGGGAGGCAGCAGUGGGGAAUUUUGGACAAUGGGCGAAAGCCUGAUCCAGCCAUGCCGCGUGCAGGAUGAAGGCCUUCGGGUUGUAAACUGCUUUUGUACGGAACGAAACGGCCUUUUCUAAUAAAGAGGGCUAAUGACGGUACCGUAAGAAUAAGCACCGGCUAACUACGUGCCAUCAGCCGCGGUAAUACGUAGGGUGCAAGCGUUAAUCGGAAUUACUGGGCGUAAAGCGUGCGCAGGCGGUUAUGUAAGACAGUUGUGAAAUCCCCGGGCUCAACCUGGGAACUGCAUCUGUGACUGCAUAGCUAGAGUACGGUAGAGGGGGAUGGAAUUCCGCGUGUAGCAGUGAAAUGCGUAGAUAUGCGGAGGAACACCGAUGGCGAAGGCAAUCCCCUGGACCUGUACUGACGCUCAUGCACGAAAGCGUGGGGAGCAAACAGGAUUAGAAACCCCUGUAGUCCCA